AUACGGAGGGGGCUAGCGUUGUUCGGAAUUACUGGGCGUAAAGCGCGCGUAGGCGGAUUGAUCAGUCAGGGGUGAAAUCCCGAGGCUUAACCUCGGAACUGCCUCUGAUACUGUCAAUCUUGAGUUCGAGAGAGGUGAGUGGAAUUCCUAGUGUAGAGGUGAAAUUCGUAGAUAUUAGGAAGAACACCAGUGGCGAAGGCGGCUCACUGGCUCGAUUCUGACGCUGAGGUGCGAAAGCGUGGGGAGCAAACAGGAUUAGAUACCCUAGUAGUCC
rnacentral:rRNA from 1 species